AUUGAACGCUGGCGGCAUGCCUUACACAUGCAAGUCGAACGGCAGCACGGGUGCUUGCACCUGGUGGCGAGUGGCGAACGGGUGAGUAAUAUAUCGGAACGUACCUUAUCGUGGGGGAUAACGCAGCGAAAGCUGUGCUAAUACCGCAUAAUCCCUAAGGGGGAAAGCGGGGGACCGUAAGGCCUCGCGCCAUUAGAGCGGCCGAUACCUGAUUAGCUAGUUGGUGAGGUAAAGGCGCACCAAGGCAACGAUAAGUAGCUGGUCUGAGAGGACGAUCAGCCACACUGGGACUGAGACACGGCCCAGACUCCUACGGGAGGCAGCAGUGGGGAAGUUUGGACAAUGGGGGCAACCCUGAUCCAGCAAUGCCGCGUGAGUGAAGAAGGCCUUCGGGUUGUAAAGCUCUUUUGUCAGGGAAGAAACAGCAGCUCUAACACAGUAUGCGAAUGACGGUACCUGAAGAAUAAGCACCGGCUAACUACGUGCCAGCAGCCGCCGUAA
rnacentral:rRNA from 1 species